rnacentral:rRNA from 1 species
UACGUAGGGUGCAAGCGUUGUCCGGAAUUAUUGGGCGUAAAGAGCUCGUAGGCGGCUUGUCACGUCGACUGUGAAAACCCGGGGCUCAACUCCGGGCCUGCAGUCGAUACGGGCAUGACUGGAGUUCGGCAGGGGAGACUGGAAUUCCUGGUGUAGCGGUGAAAUGCGCAGAUAUCAGGAGGAACACCGGUGGCGAAGGCGGGUCUCUGGGCCGAUACUGACGCUGAGGAGCGAAAGCGUGGGGAGCGAACAGG